CUCCAAAAGGUACAGAUUUCGUUUUCUAAUUAACUGUGGCGCCAAUGAAAUUUCCGUUGCGGAAAUGUGAUGUCAACAGUCUGAGUCGACACGCACUGGUGUGUUCCGCCAAAGCGCCACCAUGUCCACGAAUUUUUCAGUUUUUAAAAGCAACUAAUUUUUAUCAUGUUAUGAUAUUCUUCUGAAUCACGGAACGAUAAUACAUUUCGACUUGUCUAGCUCUCAAAAUUGCGUUCCAGAAAUCAGAAUUGAAUUUAUCUGGUUCUGAAACCUGAGACUUCGCGUCUGAAAAUUGCGUGUAAAUAAAUAAUAUUCGCAAUACCAGGAAACUUUGCAUACUCCGCAAGUGCUUUUCCUUUCAUUCUCUUCUCCAGGAAUUUUUAAUUUCAUCUUUGUGUUUUCUCGGCGUUGGAGGAAAUUAAAGUGCAGUAAUGAAAUGUCAUAGUUGUGGUGUCGAUAAAUUAUCGAAAGAAUUUCCACACGAACAUCUCACAAAGGAGUGUACUAAACAUCCAUUGCUACAUUGCCUCAGAUGCGCAACAAAGUCAGUCAAAGAUGAUAAAAAGUGCUCACAAUGUGUCGCCGUCGUUGAUGAAGACAACAGACAGUACAAGAAAUAUGUCCAGACUUUGAGGUUCCUUUUCCCCGCAAUUAUCACUGGUGACAAACCAACAAUUAGUGGCGGCGAACUCGCAACAGCUAGUCAGUCUGGUGGUGCCACAGCUAAUGACACGACACCGAACAUUUUUGUUACUACUCUUUCAGGAGAGAGUAUCACAAUUGUUUAUAACCCAGAACAAACUAUUAUGUAUCUGAAAUCUAUUGUUAACGAAAAAUUUGGGAUUCCUUCAAACAAACAAUGUCUGUUGCACAAUAAUGAGGUGCUGGAGACCAGUAAUAGCGAGGGCAAACAACUCAGAUUGAAAGAUUGCGGUGUAAAUCCCAAUGGCAGAAUUUACCUGGUAAUAUUACUGUAUGCAAUUCCUUGGAAUAUGGAUAUAAUCUUUGAUCUUUCCUGGGGAUAUCCGAAGAAAACUUUGAAUUUCGAGAUAUUCGAACUUAAAUGGUUCAAAGUUCGCGACUAUCUCGAUGCUUCUGUAUUUCUCUACAGUGAUUCUAAAUUUAUAGAAGUCGUGGACUAUCGCAAUAAGGCAAGUAAAUCAUGCCCAGCAGUCGAGCAUUCUGGUGACGUCAUGCAUGAUAAAGAUAAGCUUGGUCAUCACACUAUAUCUGUGUCAACCCAAUCAAUACCAGCUGAGGUUAACCGUCUGGUGUUCACAUUAAGUGCUUGGAAUGCCCCGAACGUGUCGAAAUAUACAAAUCCAAGCCUAAAAUGUUAUGAUAAAAAGAAACAAAACGAACAGCUUUGCGACGAUGUGUUGGGAUGCGCUGCUAAUUUAAAAGCCAUCAUUAUGUGUUGUUUAACCAAACGAAGUGAUGAGUGGCAAGUAGUUAGUUUAAAAUAUCCAUCUGCUGGAAACGCGAAGAAUUACGAUCAACUAAAAACCACGAUUGAACACCUCAUAGAAUCUGGGCAAAUGCCAUGAUAUUGACAUGCACAUAGAAAUUGUAGUUAGGGGCCGUUCGCAAAAUACGUGACGCUCUCUUGGACCUUUUAUUACACCCUGGUUUCCUUCGUUUUAUUACACGCCGGUUUCCUCAAGUAUCAAUAGCUAAUAAAUAACAAGCAAAACGGAUGUAUCUUAUUUUGGCGCAAAACCAGCAAACAUAAACAAACUUAACAAAGUAAAUUGUCAUCGCAAUCCCAAAAAGUCUCUUUAUGUUUGUUGGAAAUAUUGAAUUUGAAUCAAUGAGCUCUAUGAUUUUAAAUUUUUAAUUGAAGAAAGAAAAUGUUGAAAGUUCUAGAGAAUUUCCAUAAGUUUUUCAUUUGAUCAUUUCCAUAAAAAAUGCCAUCUCACUUGCCUUUAUAUCAAAAUUUCCAUAAAAUAUAUAAAUUUCCAUCAAAGUGGAAACCCUGCAGUCUGUUAAAAGGCGCGAAAAUUGACGGCAAAUUCCGACCUCGUCCCGAGUACAUUAUGUCCUGAAAGCAUGCUUUUGGAUUUGGUCGAUAUUUGGAUUUUUGAACUAUUUUUUGGGGCAUAUUUCUACCAAUUUCACAAAUUCAUCAUUGUAGUAUGGAAUGUGAUGGUCCAUAUCUAUAAAUAAGGACUUGGAAUCUUAAGUUUUGUGUUUUCUUCAGGUGGUGCACUAUUGUUGUGUGUAAUAAAUACUGCCGUGGAAGGAAGAGGGCUCGUCCAUCCUUGCAAUGCAUUGAAUGCAAGCCAUUUUUUCAUCCCGAAUGCAUCUUCUUCAAUGCGAGAGAUGCCAAGAAGAUCAAAAAUACAUUCGCCUGCACUUCUUGAGGUGCUUACUGCAGAGUGGAUCAUUGAUGUUGUCAGAGAUAGUGACUGAGAUUGAUCGGCUUUGACAACGUUCAGGGACCUCGCAGCGCAAGAUUUUGAUUUUUUUAACCUCGUUGCCACAGCUCGAGGAUCUUGAGCUGGGAGAUUAAUCAGAAUGGGAAGUUGAGGUGAUUACAUCUAAAGUUUAACUCCAGGGUGAACAAAUCUCAACAGCGCAAAUCGAUAAUGAGAAAAAUGGAUUCUGUCGUGUAAUUCACACAUGAUAACUCUGCAUAUCACAAAAACCGAAUUCAAUAAUUGUUUUAUUAUACCU
rnacentral:misc_RNA from 1 species